CGUAUAUUAAAGUUGUUGCAGUUAAAAAGCUCGUAGUUGGAUUUGUGGUGUAUUGUGGGUUCCGGGCACUUGUUGUCUGAGUAACUUGCGGUUGCCAUCCUUGGGUGGAACCUGUGUGGCAUUAGNUUGUCGUGCAGGGGAUGCCCAUCGUUUACUGUGAAAAAAUUAGAGUGUUCAAAGCAGGCUUAUGCCGUUGAAUAUAUUAGCAUGGAAUAAUGAGAUAGGACUUUUUCGCUAUUUUGUUGGUUUGCGCGAAGAGGUAAUGAUUAAUAGGGACAGUUGGGGG
rnacentral:rRNA from 1 species